rnacentral:tRNA from 1 species
AGCUCGGUAGCGCAACUGGCAGUGCAACUGGCAGCGCAGCGGCCUCCAAAGCCGAAGGCUGAAGGUUCGACGCCUUCCCGCGAUGCCA